rnacentral:rRNA from 1 species
CUGGCGGGGUGCCUAUACAUGCAAGUCGAGCGAACAGAUAAGGAGCUUGCUCCUUUGACGUUAGCGGCGGACGGGUGAGUAACACGUGGGUAACCUACCUAUAAGACUGGGAUAACUUCGGGAAACCGGAGCUAAUACCGGAUAACAUUUGGAACCGCAUGGUUCUAAAGUGAAAGAUGGUUUUGCUAUCACUUAUAGAUGGACCCGCGCCGUAUUAGCUAGUUGGUAAGGUAACGGCUUACCAAGGCGACGAUACGUAGCCGACCUGAGAGGGUGAUCGGCCACACUGGAACUGAGACACGGUCCAGACUCCUACGGGAGGCAGCAGUAGGGAAUCUUCCGCAAUGGGCGAAAGCCUGACGGAGCAACGCCGCGUGAGUGAUGAAGGGUUUCGGCUCGUAAAACUCUGUUAUUAGGGAAGAACAAAUGUGUAAGUAACUGUGCACAUCUUGACGGUACCUAAUCAGAAAGCCACGGCUAACUACGUGCCAGCAGCCGCGGUAAUACGUAGGUGGCAAGCGUUAUCCGGAAUUAUUGGGCGUAAAGCGCGCGUAGGCGGUUUCUUAAGUCUGAUGUGAAAGCCCACGGCUCAACCGUGGAGGGUCAUUGGAAACUGGGAAACUUGAGUGCAGAAGAGGAAAGUGGAAUUCCAUGUGUAGCGGUGAAAUGCGCAGAGAUAUGGAGGAACACCAGUGGCGAAGGCGACUUUCUGGUCUGUAACUGACGCUGAUGUGCGAAAGCGUGGGGAUCAAACAGGAUUAGAUACCCUGGUAGUCCACGCCGUAAACGAUGAGUGCUAAGUGUUAGGGGGUUUCCGCCCCUUAGUGCUGCAGCUAACGCAUUAAGCACUCCGCCUGGGGAGUACGACCGCAAGGUUGAAACUCAAAGGAAUUGACGGGGACCCGCACAAGCGGUGGAGCAUGUGGUUUAAUUCGAAGCAACGCGAAGAACCUUACCAAAUCUUGACAUCCUUUGAAAACUCUAGAGAUAGAGCCUUCCCCUUCGGGGGACAAAGUGACAGGUGGUGCAUGGUUGUCGUCAGCUCGUGUCGUGAGAUGUUGGGUUAAGUCCCGCAACGAGCGCAACCCUUAAGCUUAGUUGCCAUCAUUAAGUUGGGCACUCUAAGUUGACUGCCGGUGACAAACCGGAGGAAGGUGGGGAUGACGUCAAAUCAUCAUGCCCCUUAUGAUUUGGGCUACACACGUGCUACAAUGGACAAUACAAAGGGCAGCUAAACCGCGAGGUCAUGCAAAUCCCAUAAAGUUGUUCUCAGUUCGGAUUGUAGUCUGCAACUCGACUACAUGAAGCUGGAAUCGCUAGUAAUCGUAGAUCAGCAUGCUACGGUGAAUACGUUCCCGGGUCUUGUACACACCGCCCGUCACACCACGAGAGUUUGUAACACCCGAAGCCGGUGGAGUAACCAUUUAUGGAGCUAGCCGUCGAAGGGGACCAAA